rnacentral:lncRNA from 1 species
ACUUAUCGUGUUUGCUUUCCACUCUCUUUAUUGUUUGUACUGUAACGCCCCGGAUUACACAUUUUCCGGGCACGCCGACAAAUCCGUCGUAUAUAAAGAAUUUUUCCUGUAUACGAAGCGUAACGGUAACUGUAAAACAUACAGUACUACAACCAAUAGUAUAGAGCUGUAAAGAAAUUAAACAGGUAGAAUAAAACAAGUCUCAUAUACAUACAUAAAGAUCAGACCAAAAGUACUCGCUUCAGCGAGUUACAACAACUGUAUGUACAUGAAUUCAAAAACCAAAAAUACGACUACCUGUAGCUGGUGAUCCUCUAUCACAGCGACUCGUCAGGUAGGGCUCUAGCUCGCAAUGCCCUUGCCAUGAUCAGCCUUAUAAGGUGCAGCAGCCGGAACCAGUGGCUCUACAAAAUAGUAGUAACAACUGGGCAUGAGAACUACUGUAAAAACAAGUAGUUCUCAGUGGGUACCGCCCUCAACAUUAUCGGUCCACCCACUAAGUAUAUAGAAGGGAACAGAGCUAGUAAGAAAAAGCUGGAAAGAAAUCUACAGCUACAUGUCCCUACACUAGCAUACUCUACACUAACCAACUGUAGUAAAAGUCACUGACUAUCUCACCCGGGCUGCCCAAACGGACCCACCCUGCCUGUAUCUCGCUACGCCGUACACCACCCCGAGGGUGGCCGGCUCAAAAACUGUCCAACAGAAACUGUGACACUCAUCGCACUAAAACCUCAUUCCGGAAUGGCAUUCGCGGGUGCGACCCACGAGUUACAAGUGUCUCUGUCAUUUCAUUCUGGCUCUCACAGGUUCGGCCAAGUAAAUAGGGUCUAACUGGACUACCAACCAACUAGUCACGUGUCCUCGGCAUAAUCUGAUACCAAAAUGACAAAUUUAGGUCCGCCAUCAACCACUACGGCACCCACUAGUCUGGAAUAAUGUAAACACUACUGUAAAAAUCGGCUCGGCAUCCCAGCACGAGCGUAACAGUAAUCUAAACUACCUGGGGUACUGGGGUACUCACCACAAGAAUACUGCAAUAGUAUAAAAAUACAGCGGCUCCUAGAGCUAAAUCAGGUAGUUUAACAUAUGACAGGUCCCGAACACUAGUUUUCUCCUAUGUCAAAUCCAAGUCCAAUAUGUAUAAUUAAUAAUAACUAAUAACAUGCUCCAAAUUCAGUUUAUAUAUCUAAAAUAUGCAUACCCAUGGAUUUGAGCUAAACAAUAGUAACGUGCAACACCAACGAUACGUGUCGACUAAUAAAGCUAUAGGAAAAGGAAUCCGAUGAUAAACCCACCUCAAACGCUAAUCCACGACAGCGAGAAGUCAAUAGGAGAAGAAAUUCCGCACUCGCCUGGCCUCCAACGGCGCUACUAUGACGCGCGCACUUGACUCGCUCGCUCGCCUUGCUCGCUCGCACGAACGAACCCAAUGCUACCCUGCUAAUUAAUUAGCUCACAACUUGGCAAUAUAUAUAAAAAAAAUAAAAAGAGAGGAUGGGGAUGGAGAAUGGAGGACCACGUGGACUCCACCGACUAAGUAAAAACAAUUGCCCAUAAGCCCCUAUACAACUAGAUUUUCUACUUUAGUCCUCAACAAUAAAAAAUCUUGAGUUUCAAAGUCUGUUUUUACGUCUAUUUUGCGCAAAACGUCUCCAAAUGAAAGCCAAGGGUACUACAUUCUCCCCCACUAUAAAAAGUUUCGUUCUCGAAACUUAAAACAUACCUCAAAGCUGAGCCUCGAACAAGUAGGGAUAGGACUCCCGCAUCAUCAUCUCCGGCUCCCAGGUGGCCUUCCGCUCCUCGUGAUUACUCCACUACUUUUACAUACGGGAUGACCCAGUUGCGCAAUUCUUUCGUCUCAUGAGCAAGGAUUCGCACCGGUCUCUCCUCGUAUCUCAGAUCCUCGCCAAUCUCUUGUGGAGUGAAGUCAAUCACGUGAGAAUGAUCGAAAACAUAUCUCCUCAAUGCCGAGAUGUGGAACACAUCAUGGAUACUAGCUAGACGGGGUGGUAGAGCAAUCUUGUAAGCAACUGGUCCAACGCGCUCCAAUACCUCAAAAGGGCCAACGAAUCGUGGACUGAGCUUUCCACGUACUCCAAAUCGACGAAUCCUUCUGGACGGCGAGACUUUGAGGAAAACAUGAUCUCCCACCUGAAACUCUAAGUCUCGUCUCCGGGUAUCGGCGUAGCUCCUCUGGCGGCUCUGGGCUAUCAAAAGGUGUCGUCGAACAACUCUUACCUUUUCCCCAGCCUCGAGCAAAAUCUCAGGCCCAAGUGUCCUCUCUCAUCCACAUCACUCCAAAACAAUGGGGAUCGACACCUGAGUCCAUACAAUGCCUCAAACGGAGCCAUCUGAAUACUCGUUUGAUAGCUGUUGUUGUACGCAAACUCUGCUAGUCUCAAGUGUCGAUACCACCCUCCUUCAAAAUUCAGGACACAUGCCCUCAGCAUGUCCUCUAGAGUCUGAAUGGUCCGCUCCGACUAACCAUCCGUCUGCUGGUGAAACGCUAUGCUGAAAUGUAACUGAGUUCCCAAAGCUGUCUGUAAACUCCUCCAAAAAUGUGACACAAAUCUCGGGUCCCAUUCUAAUACGAUCGAUACUGGUACACCAUGUAGCAUGACAAUCUCAUCCAGAUACGACUGCGUGAGUCUCUUUCUCGACCAGGUGGUCUGAACCGGUAAGAAGUGAGCAGACUUGGUCAGUCUGUCCACUAUCACCCAAAUCGCAUCAUAGCCACCCUGUGCUCUCGGCAACCCCACGACAAAAUCCAUCGUAAUCUGUUCCCACUUCCACUCGGGCACUGACAGACUCUGAAGCUUGCCAGCAGGUAUCUGAUGCUCGGCCUUUACCUGUUGACAAGUCAGACACUAAGCCACAAAUCUACCAAUGUCCCUCUUCAUCCCGUUCCACCAGAACUGUGCCUUUAAAUCCUUAUACAUUUUGGUUCCCCCAGGGUGAAUCGUAUAAGGUGAACAAUGAGCCUCCCUCAAGAUGUCCUCUCGGAUCUUAGAAUCCACAGGCACACACAGUCGGUCCGUAUACCGCAGUACUCCCGAACUGUCUAAAGCAAAACCCUCCGCCUGUCCCCUAUCUGACAGCUCUCGAAUCCUCAACAAAUGCGGAUCUCCACUCUGUUUCUCCCGGAUCCUAUCCAACAGAGUGGGCUGCAAGACCAGAGACAUCAGUCUUGCCGUAAACCCAGGGGACACCACCUCAAGCCUCAGCCGUUGUAGCUCCUCAAGUAGCGGUCUCUGGUGAGUGAUCAACAAACUCAAGCUCUGCGCUGCCCUCAUGUUCAAUGCAUCUGCCACUACAUUCGUCUUGCCGGGAUGAUACUGAAUACUAAUAUCAUAGUCUUUCAGUAACUCCAACUACCGGCGCUGCCUCAGAUUCAAUUCCUUUUGAGUGAACAGAUACUUGAGACUUUUAUGAUCGGUGAAAACCUCGCAGUGCUCGCCGUACAAAUAAUGCCGCCACAGCUUCAAAGCAAAGACUACCGCGGCAAGCUCCAAAUCAUGCAUAGGGUAAUUCUUCUCAUAAUCCUUUAACUGCCGUGAAGCAUAAGCAAUUACCCUACCAUGCUGCAUCAGCACACAACCCAGUCCACUGUGCGAUGCAUCACUGUAGAUCACGAAUCCUUCCCCAUCACAGGGAGAGCAAGGAUAGGAGCUGACAUCAAUCUCUGUCUCAGCUCGUUGAAGCUCCUCUGGCAGUCCUCACACCAAACAAACUGAAUCCCCUUCCGUGUCAACCUGGUAAGGGGUGUGGAAAGCUUCGCAAAGUUCUCCACAAACCGACGGUAAUAUUCUGCUAGUCCAAGAAAACUCCUCACCUCUGUCACCGUUGUCGGUCUGGGCCAAUCCCGAAUAGCAUCAAUCUUCUUCGGGUCCACUGUUACUCCCUCUACAGAAAUCACGUGGCCCAAGAAAGCGACCUCCCGCAACCAAAACUCGCACUUCUUUAACUUGGCAUACAGCUUCUUCUCUCGCAGAAGCUGUAGCACAAUCCUCAAGUGCUCCUCAUGUUCAGCAUCAUUACGGGAGUAAAUCAGAAUGUCAUUGAUGAAGACUACCACAAAUCUAUCCACAAACGGCUUGAACUCUCUGCUCAUCAAAUCCAUGAAUGCGGCAGGGGCAUUCGUCAAUCUAAAAGGCAUCACGGUAAACUCAUAAUGCCCGUACCGAGUCCGAAAAGCCAUCUUGGGAACAUUCUCGGCCCUCACCCUCAGCUGGUGGUAACCUGACUGGAGAUCAAUUUUUGAGAAGACACAAGAUCCCUGCAGCUGAUCAAACAAAUCAUCAAUGCGUGGCAAGAGAUACUUGUUCUUGAUGGUCACUUUAUUCAGCUCCCGGUAAUCCACACAUAACCUGAGCGAACCAUCCUUCUUCUUUACAAAUAACACCGGCGCUCCCCAAAGCGAUACACUGGGUCUCAUAUAUCCCUUGUCCAUCAAAUCCUGAAGCUGCGUCUUUAGCUCUCUAAGCUCUGCCGGUGCCAUCCUGUAAGGUACCUUCGAGAUUGGUGUAGUUCCGAGAACCGCAUCAAUCACGAACUUAAUCUUCCUCUCCGGCGGCAUCAUCGUCAACUUAGGGGGAAACACAUCCGGAAACUCGCGAACUACAGGAAUAUCCUCGAGUCCCGGUGUCGCCGUAGGUACCUCUACUACCGUCGCCAGAAACGCGAUGUAUCCUCUGCUCAUCAGCUGUCGAGCCCUCGCCGAAGAUAUCCAAGUAGCGAACAGCGUACUCCUACAGCCCCUAAAAGUAAACUCUUCUUGGCCUGGCUCGUGAAACGUCACUGUCCUAGCUCCACAGUCGAUCGUAGCGUAGUACCGUGCGAGACAAUCCAUACCGAGCACAACGUCGAAGUCCUGCAGCUGCCCUAAAACUAACAGGUCUGUGGGCAAGAUCUACGAAUCCAACUGCACCGGACACGACCAACAACACUCUACAACCUGUAAUACAUGAUCGAGAAUCUGCACCUCCCGUGCCUAUGACAAAGCUCCUAAUUCUAGACCAUGCAACAAUACAAAUGCUCGGCUAACAAAGGAAUAAGAUGCACCGGUAUCGAAAAGGGUACGAGCUCUAAUGCUAGAGAUUAAAACAAUACCUGCCACCACUCGGUCGGCUGCUGAAGAAUCCUCCACCUGGGCUGCAUAUACUCUGCCACUCGGAGCCUGUUGUCGCCGCUCACCCUGUCGCGGCGCAGAUGCCCUGUCCUCCUGGCGGUAACUUUGAGGUGCUCCAGAAAUCUGCUGAGAUCCGGAUGCUGCUGAAGUGGUCGAUGGCACUGGUGAUGUUGCUCGAGGGCAAGCAGACCUCAUAUGCCCCGGCUGUCCACAUCCAAAACAUCGGCCCUCACGCUGCUCACACUGCCGGGCCCAGUGCGGUCCUCCACAAAUCACACAUGGUGGUAAUCCCUGUGACUGCCUCUGCUGCCGCGAUCGCCCAGAACGCUGACGCCCCGAGAACCCACGACCCUGAGAACGCGACCGUGGAGGUCUCGGCGGACGCCGGCUGCUCAACUGUCCACCCUCCUCUGGAGCUGAGCGCUUCCUGUCCUGACUCUGCCCUGCAGCCUGAGUCCUCUCCCUAAUAGAUACAUCACCUCUCUCAACCCAAAGUGCCUGCUCCAUCGACGCGUCCAAGAUCCUCAACCUCUGCGCCUGAACCAACCGAAAAAUCUCAGGCCUCAAACCCUGCUCGAAAAGGUACACCCUGUGUGCCUCGUCUCUAGCCACAAACGGCACACAGUUCAGGAGUCAUGUGAACUCUCGAAUAUACUCCUGUACUGUCCAGUCCCCCUGCUGGAUCUUCUUUAAAUCCUCCUCGAGUUUCUGUUUUAUACUGUUGCGAAAAUACAUCCCAUACAGCAUUCUACAGAACUCGUCCCAUGUCAUCUGCAAAGUCACCAACUGGUAAUCUCUCCUCACUCUCCGCCACCAAGCAAGGGCAUCCCCUGUCAAGCAAUGCACUCCCAGAUGUACGUGCUCCCGCUCAGGAAUGAAAAGAUCCUCAAAUAACUUCUUUAUCGAGCUGACCCAGUCCUCAACAACCCAAGCCUCUGUGCAUCGGUCAUCAAAAGUCGGCGGAUCGAAACGAUGAAAGCGAGCGAGUCUCUCAGCCAUCCGCUCCUGCUCAACCUCGGUCAUCUACGAUGCCUCACUAACAAGCGCAACUGGCGCUAAAAGCACUGCCACUGCCGGGGGUACUACUGCUGGUAUAGACGAAUGUGGAACUGGCUGCUCUGGUACUGUGCUCUGGGGUGGAGCCAACCUCUUGUACAUCCUCUCCAACAACUCGCUCUGCCGCUUCGUCACCUCAGUUAAGACAGCCAACUGUGCGCUCAAGUCAAGGGGUGUGCUCGUCUCCGGUCGGGCACUCUGCUCUGCAACAGGGGGUGCACUCGCCUCCGGCUGGGCACUCUGCUCUGCCUGUACUAGUAUCUCAGGAGAUCUGGCACGAUCCUGCGCCAGCUGUGCACGCUCCCGCAACGACGGUGGGCCUCGGCGACGAUACAUAGCUACAAAGGAUAAAACAAGGUCAGAUAACCACAAACACUCUCGACCCAAUCAACGAAAGUCCAGAAGGCGGCACCUAUUUCUUCUCAAAAUUAUGUCGUCUACAGCUAACCUAAUUUUGCUGGCCAAAACAGGCUCUCCUCCAGUCACUCACUCCCUUUUAGGAUGACUUGAAGCAAUUAAUCAUUGACUUUCGCAAUAAAUUACGCCUCUCGCGGCUUACCUUCCUAAGGUUUGCCAAACUUCGGUUUUCUAGGUCCCAAUGACCUAAUGCUAAGCUCUGAUACCAACUUAAUCUGUCACGCCCCGGAUUAGACAUUUCCCGGGCACGCCGACAAAUCCGCCGUAUACAAAGAAUUUUUCCUGUAUACGAAGCGUAACGGUAACUGUAAAACAUACAGUACUACAACCAGUAGUAUAGAGCUGUAAAGAAAUUAAACAGGUAGAAUAAAAUAAGUCUCAUAUAUAUACAUAAAGAUUAGACCAAAAGUACUCGCUUCAGCGAGUUACAACAACUAUAUGUACAUGAACUCAAAAACCAAAAGUACGACUACCCGCAGCUGGUGAUCCUCUAUCACAGCGACUUGUCGGGUAGGGCUCUAGCUCGCAACGCCCUUGCCACGAUCAGCCUCAGAAGGUGCAGCAGCCGGCACCGGUGGCUUUGUAAAACAGUGAUAACAAUUGGGCAUGGGAACUACUGUAAAAACAAGUAGUCCUCAGCGGGUACCACCCUCAACAUCAUCGGUCCACCCACUAAGUCUACAGAAGGGAACAGAGAUAGUAAGAAAAAGCUGGAAAGAAAUCUACAGCUACAUGUCCCUACACUAGCAUGCUCUACACUAACCAACUGUAGUAAAAGUCACUGACUAUCUCACCCGGGCUGCCCAAACGGACCCACCCUGCCUGUAUCCAGCUACGCCGCACACCACCCCGAGGGUGGCCGGCUCAAAAACUGUCCAACAAAAACUGUGACACUCAUCGCACUGAAACCUCAUCCGGAAUGGCAUUCGCGGGUGUGACCCACGAGUUACAAGUGUCUCUGUCAUUUCAUUCUGGCUCUCACAGGUUCGGCCUAGUAAAUAGGGUCUAACUGGACUACCAACCAACUAGUCACGUGCCCUCGGCACAAUCUGAUACCAAAAUGACAAAUCUAUGUCCGCCGUCAACCACUACGGCACCCACUAGUCCGGAACAAUAUAAACACUACUGUAAAAAUCGGCUCGGCAUCCCAACACGAGCGUAAUAGUAAUCUGAACUACCUGGGGUACUGGGGUACUCACCACAAGAAUACUGCAACAGUAUAAAAAUACAACGGCUCCUAAAGCUAAAUCAAGUAGUUUAACAUAUGACAG